UGUCUUUGUCAGCGUUUCUUUCAUCCGUGCGGAUGUGCUCCUGGUGAUGAGUCCGCCUCGUGUUUAACCAAGGAGUAAAUUGCUGCUUAUUUUCUGACAAAUAUCUGAUCUAAAUGGGAGUCAGCGGUGGAGAACUGAGUUGCAAGAGCCUCUGGCACAGUCUUUGGGAAGAUGGCCUGGCUAAGCCCGUGGUUUCUUGCUGACCGCCCGAAGACGUCACCACCAACCACACCAACUGAGCUCCAUACGAUGAAACAACAUGGUGGCCCUCACUUGAUUUUCUUGGCUAGGCAAUGGCAUGCCACGCAAAGCCACAUCAAGCUACGGUAUUAUCCCGUGAGACGUGGGAAAUGGACGCAACAAAGCCCUUCUGCCUACAUACUACUAAAGUGCUUUAUUAUUUCAUUGCCUUACGCUCAUUCACAGCGGAGGACUUCAACUUAACGACAAUCAACAUUUACAUGUCAUUGUAUUAUACUUAAAGCAUAUCGGACGAGUCAUUGUAAUUUGUUCUGAUGUUUUCAUUUUUUAUUUCUGAGCUUUACAACCAGUGUCCAUUUACCAUUAAGUGGAUCAUUUGCCGUAUUUAAUAGACACUUAUGAUGUAAUAUGUAUCAGGAGGUUUUAAUGAAAUGUGCAAUAUCUGUAUGCGUUUUCGGGCUGUAAAAAGAACAACUGGCUGAUCUCCUGACCCAAUUCCGGCCAUCCCACUUACAUCAUAUGGAGUGUCGAGCGUGAUGGAUUUCUUAGCCUAAUUUCAUCCUAAUCCCCUAUCCAAAGUAAUAUUUUGUGCUGACUUUGUUCGCUCUUCACAGCCAAGCAAAUCCCCCUGAUUUGGGAUAUUUCAUUUGCAUAUUGCAUUGGGCUGUGCCGGGGGGCUGAGACAGUAGGUCACGCUCUUGAACUCAAAUGACAACAAAACACAGGCAUGAGCUCGAGUUCAGCAUAAUCUGACCCUCACAAUCUGCUGGUGCUGCUGCAGGAAUGAGAUUUGGUCCGUUUAGUUUGUUGGAUGUAACGAGUUAGUAAUAUUAUUGAAAUGUGUGCAGAAUUACACAUGUACUUGCACAGUGGGUGACUACGAAGACCCGCUCAACAUUAAUUCCAGUCUCCCUCCGCAGUGCCAACGCGUUGCCAUAAUAGCCAUUAAGAUGUUGCGGUUUUCAAUAAGCGUUUAUAGACUUUGGGCGUCUGAGGACUAUUUUGCAAAAGAAAGUGAUGAGACAUCAGCACGGUUUACGAAGUGCACCGUCAACGCU